UAGUACGAGAGGACCGGAAUGAACAAACCUCUGGUGUACCAGUUGUCAUAUCAGUGGCAUUGCUGGGUAGCUACGUUUGGUAUUGAUAAGCGCUGAAAGCAUCUAAGCACGAAGCAAUCUCCAAGAUUAAGAUUCUUCCGCCUUCGGGCGGACGCAAUUCCUGGGAGACUACCAGGUUGAUAGGCUGCAGGUGUACGCACAGUAAUGUGUUCAGCCGAGCGGUACUAAUUAUUGCGCAUCUUAUGUUU
rfam:Candidate division WWE3 bacterium RIFCSPHIGHO2_02_FTLL_38_14 rifcsphigho2_02_scaffold_14439, whole genome shotgun sequence.